AUCCCUGCGCCCCGCCCCCGGCCAGCCUCAGCCUGGCCCCGCCCACUCGCUCUCCUCGGCUCCUGAGUGGUCCGAAGCGACGCGGGCCCGCCCUUCUCAACGCCCUUUAGCGAGCGCCAAAAAACUCCCGACCCCUUCUUGGCGCGCGUCGCCGCAGAGCCCACCCAGGCGGGAUAGAGCUUAUGGAUUGGCUAAUGCCGCAGCAACUCCCGCCUGCCUGAGCUGUUCCCGGAGGUCCGCAAGCCCCCAGCCCUCCCAUGCGGAAGAGUCUGGCUGGUGCAGAGGGCUCAACUUUUCCCUAGGCUCUGGACCCAAAGGCCUUCCACGUCCUUUGGAACCUGCUUACUUCCUUUAUUCCCUCGCAGUCUGGCUCCUUCCUCCAUCCUGGGUGACCAGUGGGUGCCGACAUUGACAUUCAUAUAAGAACACGGAGGAGGUGCAGGUGGGAGGAGAUGGGCUCAGUUUUAGCCAACUUAAAAUAGAGUCUGCAGAGCCCGUGGGACACAGGGGAGGUAUUUGGGGACCCAGAGUUGGGGAACUGUGGGUAGAUAUGGGAGUUGAAGACACUGACAGCAAAGGGUGCAACUACAGUUCACCUAGCAUAGAACCCUAUGUGACCGUUAAAAAGAAUGAGGCUCAGUGAAGUGAACUCAUAGGGAAACCUGCCCACAACAAAUUAGACGCAGGAUGCAGUAGAAGGCUAAGAGAAGUCUGGAGCCAGACUUGGGUUUAAAGCCUGGGACUGACACUUGCUAUGCGACCUUGAACUGAUUACUUAACGUUACUCUGUACUUCGGUUUCCCAAUCUGCAAAGCGGGGAUAAGCAAUUACAUCCUUCUGUUUGAUGUGAACAUUAAAUAAAUUAAUCCACAUAAAGCACUCAA
rnacentral:lncRNA from 1 species